CAUAGAACAAAAUACUGGUGCUGUUUAAGCAUUAUCUAUUUGGUCAUAACGGUUCCUAUAUCAUUUAUAAAUGUUAAGAGCUUUAGACAUCUUGACCAAAAUUCCAUUAUGCUCAGUAGGCCCAGAGAGCCAGUGGACUGGGUAGUCUUGAUGUGUCUGUCACUUUGCAGAUCCUUCUGGAGAGUGCAACCCAGACUUGCGUCUCCGUGGACAUCAGAAGGAAGGCUAUGGGCUUUCUUGGAACCCAAAUCUCAGUGGGCACUUACUUAGUGCUUCAGAUGACCACACCAUCUGCCUGUGGGACAUCAGUGCCGUUCCAAAGGAGGGAAAAGUGGUAGAUGCGAAGACCAUCUUUACAGGGCAUACGGCAGUAGUAGAAGAUGUUUCCUGGCAUCUACUCCAUGAGUCUCUGUUUGGGUCAGUUGCUGAUGAUCAGAAACUUAUGAUUUGGGAUACUCGUUCAAACAAUACUU
rnacentral:sRNA from 1 species